rnacentral:rRNA from 1 species
UACGGAGGGUGCGAGCGUUGUCCGGAAUCACUGGGCGUAAAGGGCGCGUAGGCGGCCUGAUAAGUAGGGGGUGAAAUCCUGCGGCUUAACCGCAGGGCUGCCUUCUAAACUGUCAGGCUCGAGCACAGUAGAGGCAGGUGGAAUUCCCGGUGUAGCGGUGGAAUGCGUAGAGAUCGGGAAGAACAUCAGUGGCGAAGGCGGCCUGCUGGGCUGACACUGACGCUGAAGCGCGAAAGCUAGGGGAGCGAACGGG